rnacentral:rRNA from 1 species
CCUACGGGGGGCAGCAGUGGGGGAUAUUGCACAAUGGGGGAAACCCUGAUGCAGCGACGCCGCGUGUGGGAAGACGGUCUUCUGGAUUGUAAACCACUGUCCCCAGGGACGAAAAUGACGGUACCUGGGGAGGAAGCUCCGGCAAACUACGAGCCAGCAGCCGCGGUAAUACGUAGGGAGCAAGCGUUGUCCGGAAUUACUGGGUGUAACGGGAGCGUAGGCGGGGAUGCAAGUUGGCUGGCAAAACUACCGGCUCAACCGAGAGGCGCAGUCAGAACUGCAGCUCUUGAGUGAAGUAGAGGCAGGCGGAAUUCCUAGUGUAGCGGUGAAAUGCGUAGAUAUUAGGAGGAACACCAGUGGCGAAGGCGGCCUGCUGGGCUUUUACUGACGCUGAGGCUCGAAAGUGUGGGGAGCGAACAGGAUUAGAUACCCGAGUAGUC